GGCGGGGUAACGGCCCACCAAGACAACGAUGGAUAGGGGUUCUGAGAGGAAGGUCCCCCACAUUGGAACUGAGACACGGUCCAAACUCCUACGGGAGGCAGCAGUGAGGAAUAUUGGUCAAUGGACGAGAGUCUGAACCAGCCAAGUAGCGUGAAGGAUGACUGCCCUAUGGGUUGUAAACUUCUUUUAUAUGGGAAUAAAAUGUUCCACGUGUGGGAUUUUGUAUGUACCAUAUGAAUAAGGAUCGGCUAACUCCGUGCCAGCAGCCGCGGUAAUACGGAGGAUCCGAGCGUUAUCCGGAUUUAUUGGGUUUAAAGGGAGCGUAGGUGGAUUGUUAAGUCAGUUGUGAAAGUUUGCGGCUCAACCGUAAAAUUGCAGUUGAAACUGGCAGUCUUGAGUACAGUAGAGGUGGGCGGAAUUCGUGGUGUAGCGGUGAAAUGCUUAGAUAUCACGAAGAACUCCGAUUGCGAAGGCAGCUCACUGGACUGCAACUGACACUGAGGCUCGAAAGUGUGGGUAUCAAACAGGAUUAGAUACCCUGGUAGUCCACACAGUAAACGAUGAAUACUCGCUGUUUGCGAUAUACAGUAA
rnacentral:rRNA from 1 species